AUCUGGGAAUGAAGCUAUGGACUUUUCAGGAAACUGGAUGGGUCUGAAAACCCAUUUAUCGAAGUGACCCAGACUCAGAAAACACAAACUAACUCUAUAGCUCUUUUCAAAGGAGAUGUACACUCACACUGAGCUAAGAUUGACUCAAAGCCAUCUCAGAUCUAAGAAGUUUGUGCAUAGAUUUUGUCCAUUUUCCAUGCCCCCCUCUUUUUUCCUUCUCUCCCCUUUUCCCUCUCCUCUUCUCCCCUCGCCCUUCUCCUCCUCUUCUCUCUCUCCCUCCCUUCUUCCUCCUUUUCUCUUCUCUUCUCUCCUCUUUUCUUUUCCCACCCCUCUCUCCUCUCUUCUCCUUCCUAUCCUCUCUCCUACUCCUCACUCUCCUCUCUCCUGCCUCUCUCCCUCCCUUCUUUGUUUAGCAAGAUUUGGCUUCAUCCUCAGUAUAUAUUACAUCUCAGAGCUCUGAUGUGUGAGGACUUCGUGCUUACAUGGAAGUCACAUGUAGAGCUGGUCUGAAAACAUGCCGCCAGGGCCCUUAGCCCUCUGUGCCUUUGUGGACUCAGCUCUAUUUCCUCUGUCACGAGUAAGGAAUAUAAAGAAAAGAAAUAUCCAGCUUGUGAACAAUGGAAAGUGUGUGUGUAGAGUCCAGAGGUUCUGGCACCUUCUGCCUUACAAAGUAAGUUUCCCAUCUUGAGCUAAUCCAAAAACAGUAAAAGCUUCACAAGGAACAGCCAGCCUCAUAAAACGUCUUUUCAGAGAACUCCCAGGGCCCCUCAGUAGAACAAAAGUUUCUUCAUGUAGAAAAGGUUCUUCAUGUGGUUUACGGAGCGGUCUCAGAAGUUGGGUGCUUCCAAUGCUAGCACAGAGCAGGGAGCAAGGCAUGCCUCAAAAGAACAACAGCAAAGAAUGAUUUCUAUACGCUGAAGUUCCCCUUAAAAAAGCAGCAUCGACAUAAACAUCCUAUGGGACUGUUUCAUGAAGACGCUGUGGGACUGGAUGAAGACGCUGUGGGACUGGAUGAAGACGCUGUGGGACUGGAUGAGGGCUCAGAUUGCUGCUCUUACAGAGGAUGCAAGUUUGAUUCUAACGCCCAGCCCAUGUCUGGCAGCUCACAAGCUAGUAGCUCUGGCUCCAGGGAAUGUCACCACUCUCUUCUGGCCUUUGUGGCACAUACACUCAAGUAUACACUGCCCCUUAAACACACACACACACACACACACACACACACACACACACACACACACACACACACAAACAAACAAACACACACACUAAAUAUUUUUAAAAAGACUUCAGUGACUAUUAAUGAUUGUUGGAAUCAGAUGAAUCAGAUGUGUCUUGUCCUUUUCCAUUACAGGAAUAACAAACAUUCAUUUCCGCGGAUCGGGUUUCCUAAUUACUGUUUUCCAUGCUGGCUCAGAAAUAGCAGUUGCCACACAGCAUACGAGUUCUUCAUUCUUUUUCUUGACUGAGUCAUUUUGGGCCAGUGACGACUUGGCUCAGACUCAGUAGAAGGAGAAGUUUUUAAUACUGCCAUUGGUUCCACUGUGGGAUGAGUUAUCAACUUCAUGCCAGUUUCUUCCCCAGAAAUGACUCUCUGUGGCUUGUGCAUGUUCCAAGAGCCCUGUAGUCACUCCUCAUGCAUGAGAUCAACAGUGGAUGACAGGAAAGGAUGCUCUGCUGAGGCCUUCAAUGAUGGGAAGAAUGUAGUGAAUAAUGGUGCCAUAUUUAGGGUGAUAUGCAUGACCAGAAGACAUGUGCAGAGGCUUUGGAGAUGCCUCAAUCAGUAAACUGCCUGAUGAACAACCACAGGGACCCACAUUCCACCCCCAGAGCCCAUGUGAAAAUAAAACUGGGCAUGGUGACAUGUGCUUAUGGUCCCAUGGGAGACCUGCUGAUCUCUAGGGUUUGUUGGCCAGCAAGCCUACCUGAAAGGACAAGUUCCAGGCAAAGUGGGAGACUCUAUCUCAAAAAAACAAGAUGAAUAAAAAGAUAUCCAGAGGUUAACUUCAUGCACAUGCAUGUGCAUAUGUGCCUGCUGCACACAUGUGUAUACUAGCCCCCAUACAAACAUGCCUACAUCUAUACACACAGAAACAUAAAUGUAGUUGUCGCCUCCGAUUCUGACCAGCAGAAAGGAACGACGACACUACGUUCUUCUCAGUUUAUUCAGGAACCUUUCAACAUGCAUGCAGGAAUCUUUCUCCAGAAAUCUCUCUCGUAAUCCUUAUUCUAUCCCGCCCCCAAUCGCAAUCCCUUAUAUAACCCCUCAACCACGUCCCAUCAGCCCAGUCCACGUAACAGCAGUCCAUUGGCCAGAAUCAUCACUCGUCAUAUGGUCUGAUCCUACAUCAUGGUGCACCCGCGCACUUCUCACGAUGGAUGCGGCUUAUUUUCAGGUGUAUGAGGAAGUCAGGUGCAAGUCGUAAGACUUGGCUGCAGUCCCUGGCGCCAUCUUGGGACUGCUGCCACACCUGCUCCUCACAUGUAGUAAGUCUGGGUAAUGGAGAAACAGGCAGAACACUCAGAAGUCUAAGCUAUUUCUCUGCUGUGGUUAAUACCUGGUGUUGCUAACCUGAGUGAUGUGGUGGAUGGCUCAGCUGUAAAAUGUUUGCUUUGAAAGCUUGGGGAGUUGAGUUAGAUUCCCAGAUCCCAUGUGAAAAAAAAAAAAAAAAAGCAGGUGUGGUGGUGCAAACUCACAAUCACAGUGGUAGAGAGGUGGAGUUAAAUGAAUUUCAAGAUUCUGUGGCCAGCCAGUCUAGCCUAUUUGGUGAGUUCCUGUUUGGUGAGAGACCCUGACUCAAAAAUCAAGGUAGUAUAGAUUUGAAGCUCCAGGGAGGCUCAUUAGACUCACACCAGUAAUUUACCCACUCAUAUAUCCCAUCUACUCUUCUGUGUCCCUUUCCAUGUCCAUCUAUCAGAUAAAGAGCUCAGUCCAUGCCACUAAUACACAUAGUGGAGUGCCCUUCCCGCAUGCCUAGGUGGGGAAUAUAGACUCCAUUCACUCAUGACAACUGCACCUAUUCCAGUUGUACACACUUGGUUCCUUCUACAGGCAGACACUAGAUUCUCACACUCAACCAUGUGCAUGUGAGUAUUCAUGUACACACACACACACACACACACACACACACACACACUUGAGGAUUAAAAUUUUCCAUCGAAGGGCACUAAAUCCAAACCAGUAACUCCACUUACUCCCAAUCUUACUUGCCCCACACUUGCCUUCUGCUUCUUCCCUGACCCUCAUCUUUUAGUAGAUGAUUAGACUCAUAACAUCAACUCCACCAACACUCUUUACUUAAGUUCUCAGUAUCUUCCCCAGUUUGCUGAAGAUUGACUCUGAGUAAUCACUUUUGUAACUACAGAAGGUUUGCUCCUAUACUAGAAACCUGAAAACUAGAAAACUGAGCCAGGACUAUUUGAGCAUCAACACUGAAGAGCCCAAAAAAAUCAAUCCUAAGUCCCAUAUAGUUGGUCAACCACCUGACAAAUUAAGGUAUCAGGAAACAGUUCCAAAUACCUAUUCCAAAUACCUAACAAAAGAGAGGCAGGAUUUCCAUACCAAAAAAUAGUAUUAACAACCUAUCUCUUUGUCUUUGUCCAAUUCUAAAUACACAAAUUGUGAAUAAUUAAAAUUAUAAGUUUCCACUAAAAUUUUGUAUUCCCAUUAGUUGUCCCCAAGCAAACACACUAAGAUAACUUACAAGAUGAUUUCAAAAGUGUAAUAAUAAACAUAAUCAAAUAACUCAAUAGGAAUAUUAAUAGAUGCUAGAAUGAAGACUGUGAAAAUAUAAAUGAAUGAAAUAACAGAAACAGUUCAAGAUAUAAAAAUAGAAUUGGGUAAAGAGAAGAAAAAACCAAAAUGAAACAAAGCUGGCAGUGAUAACAGCAUACAGGUCAAAGGCAGAGAAAUAUUUUCAAUGAAAUCAUAGAAGAAAGCUUCUCUAAUCUAAGGAAAGAAUUGCUUGUAAGAAAUCAAAGUGGAAAGCUUUUACCUCUCUUACUCUCUAGCCUUUCUUCCUUCUCUCUUUCUUCCCCCUUCUCUCCACACGACCAUGGCUGGCCUCUCUCUCUCUUUCUACCUUCUCUCCUUUCUCCCUGCUUUUCUACAAUAAAGCUCUAAAUAAACCAUAAAAAAAAAAGAAAAAAAAAAAAGAAAUCAAAGUGGAGUAAGACCAUCAAAUAGGAUUAGUAACGAAAUUCUCCAUGUUUUAUAAAAGUCAAAAGAGUAACUGUAGAGAACAAAAAAGGGUACUGAAAACAGCAAGAAAGAUCAAGUAAGAUAUAAAGGAAGAUCUAUAAGAAUAACAGAUUUUUCAGUGGAGACCAUGAAAGCCAGAAACUGGACUGAUAGUCUACAAGUUAUAGAAGGUCAGAUGUCAGCCCAGACUACUAUAACCCAGCAAAACUGUUAGUCAUAUUUGAAAGCGAAAGGAAACAUUAUGACAGAAACAGAUUAAAGGAAUUUAUAAAUACUAAACCAGCUCUACUGUUGAGUCCAGAUUCCAGGGUCCCCCAAACAAAUCUGGAUGAAAAAGCAAAGAGACUUUAUUCAAGCUUAAGCUAAGAACCUCAGACUCUGAUGCAGCAGACUCAUGGUGAGAUCCCAAAGCCUCAAUUAGGCAGGGUUUUUAUACCAGUUUGAGUAGGGAAUAGGGGUCUCUAACCUAGCAGUUGCCCUAUUUGGCAAGGGUUGAGAAGGAAACUGGGGUCUCCAGCCUGGAACUCACCUUAUUCGGCAAGGGGUAUCUUGGUGUACAGAGAUUGUUCAGUGAUGACUUCAGCUGGCUUGAGCAAUUUGUCUAUAACCUCUGGAAUUUUAGGCACUUUCCCUCUAUUUCCUGUUUGGCUCAGGCCCAGGGCAGUUUCUUCCUGGAAUUUUUUGUGGUAUUUCUAUUAACCAUAGUUCAAACUGGGAACAAGCAGGCUCAAGAUGGAGUCAGCUUGUAAAUCUGAGUUUCUUCCAUUGCCUGUGUUCCUCACUACAAAAGAUACUGGAAAAAAACUUAGGUAUGAAAAAAAUGGCAAAACACACUCAAGAAGACAUUGAAUAAAAUAACCACAAAAAGGAACAACAUGACAGGAAUUAGCCCACCUUGUUCAAUCAUAAUUCUCAAUAUUAAUUGUGCCAAUCUUAUAAUAAAGGGAACUUUGUCUAACAAAUCAUAUCAGAAAACAGGAUCCAUCUUUGUGUUGCCUCAAAGAAAGAUACCUCAUAGCUGAGAGUUACCAUGUAAGGUAAAUGGAUAGGAAAAGAUCUUCCAAGCAAACAGAACAAUCAGGUAUAGUUAGUCUAAUAUCCGACAAAGUAGAUCAAACCAAAAUGGAAAAAUAUACCAAAAGGAUAGUCCAAUCCUAAAGGUAUAUAUGUACCAAAAAUAGGAGCAGGCAACUUCACAAAGACACACUAUUAGACGUAAAACCACACUAACAUAAUGAUAGCAGGUGUGGUGUUUUGAAUGCUUUUCUUCUAUAUAGAUUGCUGUGGUCAUGGUGUUUCUUUACACCAAUAGAACACUAAAACAGAAGGUGGUACCAGGAGUGAGGUAUCGCUGUGACAGGUCCGACCAUACUGCUUGUUGGCAGAAUAUGGACUUUGGGACUUUGGAUUAGGAAAGCAGUUGAAUGCUUCAAGUGGGGCUUAACAGGGCAUUCUCAUAGAUUAUGGAAACAGUGGUGCUAAGAGCAAUGUAGAUUAUGAUACCUGGUUUGAAAGAUUUCAGAAAAGGAUAAGAUUAAUAAGUGGCCAAAAGACUAUUGUGAUAUUUGAUGAAGAAUGUGUCUCCUUUUGCCAUUAUCCAAAAUAUCUGAUUCAAGCUAAAUUGAAGAGUUUCUGAUUAAUGUCAUUGGCAGAAGAGAUUUCAAGACAGUCUAGGAUUGACUCUGCCAUGUUGUUAUCAGUGGGCACUCCUAUGUAGCUCUAUAAAAGGAACAAGCUGAGCAAGGAAAAUACAGAAUGUACAGUGUGAGAAGAAAAGGAGCAUCAGAAAAUGUAACAGAGUUAAGUACAGUGUUCAAAGAGAUUAAAGGUUUUUAAGGAAAUAUCUUAGGCUAAAUGGAAUAAAGGGAGUGGUAAACUCAGGCCAAGACCCCACCCAGCUAAACUUCUAACUUAUAAAGGAAUUAAAGUUUUAAGCAAAGGAAACCAUCAACAAUAGAAAUUUGAUGAAUAUAUAAUUGAAGGGGGAGGGGCACGUUCCACACCCAGCAAACAGCAGAACUCGGAAUCCUCAGCUAAGUGGUUCUGGCUUUAGAGUCAAGGAAAGGGUUGAGAACUCUCCCUCCAUGGCUAAAGAAAUUUGCAGAGGCCAGGUGUGUGUGUGUGUGUGUGUGUGUGUGUGUGUGUGUGUAGUGUUAUAUGCAUGGAGGUCCAGAGAGGCCAUUUUGUGAAGCUGCAAAGGUCAAGCCUGAAUUACUUUGGGAACUCCAAAAUGUUGGGGAUGCCAGAGUCAUGAGAUACCUGACAAGGAAAGCUUCUAACAGGAUGUGGAACUAGCCCGAGAGAGAGAAGUGUGCUGCAGUCAACGAAGGUAACAGGCACUGGGGAUCUGAACAAUGUUUGAUGUCAGGCAUGGAGAUUCAGAAUUUAGAGUUGAAAUUUGAAAUGUCCUGCUGGGUUUCAGUCUUGCUUUGGUUCAGUGUCUCCUCAUUAUGCUCCCUUUCUUCCCUUUUGGAAUAGUAAAGUAUAUUCUAUGCCAUUGUGUGUUGUAAGUGUGUGACUGGCUUUUUUAUUUUAGUUUUACUUAGGGUUACAGUGAAAAGAUUGUCUUAGGUGUCAGAAGAGACUUUCAACUUUGGACUUUUAAACAGUGUUGAGAUUGUGACAGACGAUGGGGACUUUUGAAGUUGUACAAAAUACAUUUUGCAUUAUGAUAUGUAUAUAAGCCUAUGUGGCUCAGGGAGUGGAAUGUGGUGGUUUAAAUGAGACUGGCCUUCAAAGGCCUAUGGAUUUGAAUACUUGGUUACCAGGCAGUGGUACCAGCUGAAAAGAUUAGGAGGCAUGGCCUUGCUGGAGGAAGUGUGCCAUUGGGGGUGGGUGGGCUUUGAGGUUUCACUAAGCCCAUUCUAAGCCCAAAGUUUCUCUCUUCCUGUUGCUUGUGAAUCUGGAUGCAGAGCUUGCAGCUAUGUCUCCAACACUGUAUCUACUAUGCUUCUCAUCCUCAUGACAGUGGACUAAACCUCUGAAACUGCCCCUAGUUGGUCUGCUCCCCUGAAGACUUCAUAUACCGAUACAUCCCAGAGGACCUGCUGCACUCAGAGCAGUUGGAUUACAGGGAUGGAAAUGGAGAGGAGCCUGAGGAAAAGGAGGUCCAGCAACAGGCCCAAAGUGGGAUCCAGCUCAAGGGGAGGUCCCAAGGCCUGACGCUAUUACUGAGGCUAUGGAGUGCUCACAAAAAGGGACCAAGCAUGCCUGCCCUCCAAAGACCCAACAAGCAGCUGAAAGAGUCAGAUGCAGUUAUUUGCACCCAACCAAUGGACAGAAGCAGCUGACCCCUGUUGUUGAAUUAGGGAAGCUGAAAGAAGGUGAGGAGAAGGGAGAUUCUGUAGGAGGACCAGCAGUCUUAAUUAAUCUGGACCCCCGAGAUCUUUCAAACACUGGACCACCAAACAGACAGCAUACAACAGCUGAUAUGAGGUCCCUAACACACAUACAGUAGAGGACUUCCAGGUCUGUGUUCAUUCAGAGAUGAAGUACCUAACCCUCAAGAGACCGGAGGCCCCAGGGAGUU
rnacentral:lncRNA from 1 species